AUUGAACGCUGGCGGCAGGCCUAACACAUGCAAGUCGAGCGGAUGAAGGGAGCUUGCUCCUGGAUUCAGCGGCGGACGGGUGAGUAAUGCCUAGGAAUCUGCCUGGUAGUGGGGGAUAACGUCCGGAAACGGGCGCUAAUACCGCAUACGUCCUGAGGGAGAAAGUGGGGGAUCUUCGGACCUCACGCUAUCAGAUGAGCCUAGGUCGGAUUAGCUAGUUGGUGGGGUAAAGGCCUACCAAGGCGACGGUCCGUAACUGGUCUGAGAGGAUGAUCAGUCACACUGGAACUGAGACACGGUCCAGACUCCUACGGGAGGCAGCAGUGGGGAAUAUUGGACAAUGGGCGAAAGCCUGAUCCAGCCAUGCCGCGUGUGUGAAGAAGGUCUUCGGAUUGUAAAGCACUUUAAGUUGGGAGGAAGGGCAGUAAGUUAAUACCUUGCUAUUUUGACGUUACCAACAGAAUAAGCACCGGCUAACUUCGUG
rnacentral:rRNA from 1 species